GCCGGAGAGAGACCCCUGGCCCCUUCUGCCAUGUGAGGUCAGAGUAAGAAGGCGCCAUCUAAGAGGAAGAUGCCCUCACCAGACACUGGAUCUGCAACACCUUGAUCUCAGACUUCCAGCCUCCAGAAAUGGCCUAUAAAACAGCUGCGGAAAGGCGGCAGCUCUGUGCAAGCUCUCUUGCCAAGUUUGGCUGAGACCAAUGCCCGCUAGCUCUAGCCAUUGCUUCCUCCCUCCUGGGCGCUGGAAGACCAGGCUCCUCCUCCAGUUAAGAGUGGGGAGAUACAGUCUCCCCAACACCCUAGUGUGAAGAGAAGUCACGAGUGGCCCAGCUGGUGCAGCCAGUGGGAGGAGAGGCAGCCCAAAGACUGGCCUGGUUUCUGCCUGACCGUGUGGAACCCUGGCGGUCCUCUCUCCCCCAGACCCGGUCUUCUCAUUUGGAGGACGAGGGGAUAGCUUGGCUGGUUUUCCUGUCUCCUUCCAAGUCUAAAAUUUCACAAAUCGGUCAUUUCUGCUUAGGGUGCUCCUGCCCAGUGACUGGAGAGAGGAGGGGCUUUGCCCAGGGACACCCACUACCUGGGGUUGUCCAGACGGACACCCAGGUCCCCCGACCUGCACUCAGUGCUCUCUCUGCGACACUCCGUCCUCAGUGGAACAGUAGCUCUCAAUCCCGGCCACAUCAGCAUCACCUGGGGGGAUUUCACAGCCUCCCAAUCCGCAGCUGCACUCCAGACCAAUGAAAUCGGAGUCCCGGGCUGGGAGCUGGAGGUAGGUCUGUUUGGAAAACUAUGACGGAGCCGUCAGGGUUGAGGGCCAUCGUGGAAAAGUCUUCUAGAGACUGAAGAUCAAGCUCUAAGCCAGAGGUGAUGCAUUUCUGUCCCAUGUUCUCUGCUGAGAGGAUCGUGAGGCUGGUGGGAAGAGAUCUCUGACGAACCACCGAGUCUGGCAGGCGUUGGGGAGUGGCUGUGGUCCCACUGUGAGAACGUGGGGCCAGCCUCCAGGUGCUGACUCAUUGGCAUGUGGCUCCCUCCCAGGACCCUGGGGUCUGCCCCUGGACUCCAGGUCAGGUGGCCCCAGGGCUGCUGUCCAGGAACUUGAAACCAACCUCAGCCAGAGUUAGAAGGCCCCAGGUUAGCCCCAGCCCUCCAAGGGCUUCGUGCAGAAUGAGAGAAGGCAAAUAGAGAAGGGAAACCAAAGCAGAGCAGAGUGCAGUGAAGGAGAAAAAGACAAGAGAAAGGGGAAGGACCCUGAGGUCAGUGAGUCAUGUGAAUGGCAUUUAGGGAACAAAACCCCCUCCCCUGUGCCCACCAGGCUCCCCCCAUCCAUCCUUCCCUGGCCUCAGGAGAGGCACUCUCCUGCCCGGGUCCAGAGCACGGAGGGUACUGCUGCCCGCAGAGGCCCAGGAGAGGAAGUCCAAAUGCAGACAUUUGCCAGCCAUGAGUCGUGAGCCCCGUGCGUCCUCUCCCAGUCGGUGCCAGCAAGAGCCCUCCUCUCGGACACACUCUCAGAUCCUCGCCCUCUCCUGACCAGAGCCAAGGUCUCCGGUCAGACAUCUGAGCAAAGCCACCUGGCCAUUCCUAGACCAAAGGAAAUGUUCAAUCUGAUUCCCAAGACACUUGACACCCCAACCGGGUGAUCUGAUCCGGAUGAUACUGCCGAGGAGCUGUGUGACCUCGAGCGAGCCACCUCAUCCCCACCCGGACCUCAGGGCCUGACCUUGUCUGCCUUCCGUGCCAUCAUGUUUGGAUGGGAGGGAUGCCACUGCGGCCAGGGCUGGAGAGACUGGGCUCUGGACACAGAGGCCUGGGCCUGGCUCCGCCGCUUACUGGCCUUGUGAGUGUUGGCAGCGACAGCUCUGCACCCAUUUCCCCACUGGAAGGCGAGAGUUAGCAAACUGAUGACAGAAGGGGAGAAGAUAAGACACGUCCAAACACCAUGGGACUCACAUCUAGAAUACACAUGACCGCCUUUUGUAAAUCCAAAAAGCAUGGCAACUCCAGUGGAAGAUUGGGCGCAGGAUGUGAAUGGGCAGUUAAGAGAGCUGCAAGGAUGUUUGCACACGGGACGAUACACAGUUAAUGCAUCGAAGAGUUUGCCAUCAGGAGGGGAGGGGAGUGAGAAACAGGGACACAUGGGAUGGUGGUUCUCAACCUUGGGGUGACUUUGCUCCCUCCCUGUAUGGGACAUUUGGCAAUGUCUGGAGACAUUGUUGAUUGUCACAGUGGGGGUGGAGAGAUGCUACUGGCAUGUCGUGGGAAGAGACCAAGGGUGCUGGAAGACACCCUCCAAUGUGCAGGACAGCCCCCACAAAGAGCAUGGUCUGGCCUGCAACGUCAACAGUGCUGAGAGUGAGAGACUCUGUGCUAGACAGACAGAUAAGCACAUGAAGGGGCCUUUCAAGGACAAAUGAUGAACGUGUACCAUGAACUGAGGAGGCACAGGAUUAAUUUAAAUAAGUGAAAUACAAUGGCAACAAUGAUGGCUCUUCAAUGGCA